AUUUAUGAGAUGAAGAUGGCGUCGCCGGGAACUCUUAGUUCGAACUUUAAUUCAGUUGCCAGAUGAUAUUCUCCAGAGGAUGCUUGUCUUUGUUGUUCUAGAAGACGGCUGCUCUGCAAUCCGGCUGGCUUUAACAAGACAGAGAUUCAGCAAACAUUGACAGCCAGGAGCAUUUUCAGCAGGAGGAACACUUCAGCUGGCCUUAUAGUGUAGUGAAUUGAAAUAGACUGUCAAAGAGACACCGGAGAAUGUACAGAAAACCGUAAAUCAUCUCUAGGUGUAGCCGCCUACAGUGCAGCAAGUUUUCAAAGACUAUGGGCUGGCUUCUGGGGAAAUGAACAACGUGGAGUGCUUUUGGGGUUUUACUCCUCAGAUGACCACCCUGGCUACUGGGAUUGCUUCAUAGACAGAAUAGUUUGUGCAGGCACAAUGUGUCUUUACUUUAACACUUGUGGUCACUUAAAGUUCAUGUAUGUUGUUAAAAUAGCAUAAGAUGGUUUUUGUAUUUACUCAAAAACAAUUAAAAUUGGUAAAAUUGUGGA